AACAAACGCUGGCGGCGUGCCUAACACAUGCAAGUCGUACGAGAAAGUCGGCUUCGGCCGAUGAGUACAGUGGCGCACGGGUGAGUAGCGCGUGGGUAAUCUGCCCCCCGGUCAGGAAUAACCCGCCGAAAGGCGGGCUAAUACCCGAUAACACUGACGCUCCGCGGAGCGUCUUUCAAAGAAGGCCUCUGUUUACAAGCUUUCGCCGGAGGAUGAGCCCGCGUACCAUUAGCUAGUUGGCAGGGUAAUGGCCUACCAAGGCUACGAUGGUUAGCUGGUCUGAGAGGAUGAUCAGCCACACUGGAACUGAGACACGGUCCAGACUCCUACGGGAGGCAGCAGUGAGGAAUAUUGCGCAAUGGGGGCAACCCUGACGCAGCAACGCCGCGUGAGUGAGGAAGGUUUUCGGACUGUAAAGCUCUGUCGAGCGGGAAGAAAUGUACCAUGGCUAAUAUCCAUGAUAUUUGACGGUACCGCUAGAGGAGCACCGG
rnacentral:rRNA from 1 species